AGACAGUUGCCGCCAUAGGUUCGAUCGUGGCGCAUUCUGCUGCCAUGAGACAGUUGCCACCAUAGGUUCGAUCGUGGCGCAUUCUGCUGCCAUGAGACAGUUGCCACCAUAGGUUAGAUCGUGGCGCAUUCUGCUGCCAUGAGACAGUUGCCACCAUAGGUUCGAUCGUGGCGCAUUCUGCUGCCAUGAGACAGUUGCCACCAUAGGUUCGAUCGUGGCGCAUUCUGCUGCCAUGAGACAGUUGCCACCAUAGGUUCUGGGGCUCUCGUUCGCUCCAUCUGGCUGCCGUUUCCUUAUAGAGCACAGACAUGUACUUGCAAAUUUUAUCUGCA